UACAGAGGGGGCAAGCGUUAUUCGGAAUUAUUGGGCGUAAAGGGCGCGUAGGCGGCUUGGCAAGUGGAUGGUGAAAUCCCUCGGCUAAACCGAGGAACUGCCGUCCAAACUGCUUCGCUUGAGACCGGGAGAGGUGAGUGGAAUUCCCAGUGUAGCGGUGAAAUGCGUAGAUAUUAGGAAGAACACCGGUGGCGAAGGCGGCCCACUGGUCCGGUACUGACGCUGAGGUGCGAAAGCGUGGGGAGCAAACAGG
rnacentral:rRNA from 1 species